GGGCCCGCACAAGCGGUGGAGCAUGUGGUUUAAUUCGAAGCAACGCGAAGAACCUUACCAGGUCUUGACAUCCUUUGACCACUCUAGAGAUAGAGCUUCCCCUUCGGGGGCAAAGUGACAGGUGGUGCAUGGUUGUCGUCAGCUCGUGUCGUGAGAUGUUGGGUUAAGUCCCGCAACGAGCGCAACCCUUAAGCUUAGUUGCCAUCAUUAAGUUGGGCACUCUAAGUUGACUGCCGGUGACAAACCGGAGGAAGGUGGGG
rnacentral:rRNA from 1 species